GGCACCCCCAAACCGAGGGGGCCCCCCCUUAAAAUAUCGGGGUGCCUCCCCAUUGCACUGACCCCCCUUAAAGUGACAGUCGGCCCCGGCCAGGGGCCCCCCCAAAUCUGCCUGCACCUUCGCCUAGUCCUUCCCCCACCCCCAAAUUUGGGGGGCCCCCCCCCAAAAAAAGCUUUUGACUUUAAAAACACAUAAAAAAGGUGAGAAGGGAUUAAAAAAUUGGGGGGGUUCCGGGGAGCCCCCCCAAAUUUGGCAGCCUGGGGAAAGGGAGGGGCCCCCCCCAAAGAAGGGGAGAAUUGGGGGGUUCCCCCAUAAUUUUGGGGGUGACCCCCAAGUGCUGGGGGCACUGGAAAGCUGGAGGUCACCCCCCAAAUUUUGGGGGGGGCCCCCGAAAGCAAAGGGGGGGCUUUGGGGGUUCACCCAAGAGCUGGUUCUUGCUGGAAAGCUGGGGGGGGUCCCCCAAAGCUUGGGGGUGUCCCAAAGUCUUGGGGGUCCCCCAAAAGCCAGGAGGGUCCCCAAAAGCCAGUCGAGACCCUGCUGGGGUCCCCCAAAAGCUUUCAGAGGGUCCCCCAAAAGCCAAGAGGGUCCCCAAAAGCCAGUCAAGAGCUUGCCGGGGUCCCCCAAAAGCCUUGGGGGUCCCCCAAAAGCCAAGAAUGUCCCCCAAAAGCCAAGCGAGACCGUGCCGGGCUCCCCCAAAAGCCAGAGGGUCCCCCAAAAGCCAGAGUGUCCCCCAAAAGGCAGGUGGCACCUCGCGGCGGUCCCCCAAAAGCCAGAGGGUCCCCCGAAAGGCCCAGAGGGUCCCCCAAAAGGCAGGUGACACCUCAUGGGGGUCCCCCAAAAGCCAGAGGGUCCCCCGAAAGGCAGGUGACACCUCAUGGGGGUCCCCCAAAAGCCGGAGGGUUCCCCAAAAGGCAGGUGACACC
rnacentral:lncRNA from 1 species